GAUGAACGCUGGCGGCGUGCCUAAUACAUGCAAGUCGAGCGAACAGAUGAGGAGUUUGCUCCUCUGACGUUAUCACCGGACGGGUGAGUACCACGUGGACAACCCACCUAUAAGACUGGUAUAAUUUCGGCAAACCGGCGCUAAUACCGGAUAAUUUAUCGACCUUCAUGGUUCCAUAGUGAAAGACGGUUUUGCUGUCACUUACAGAUCGACCCGCGCCGCAUUAGCUAGUUGGUAAGGUAACGGCUUACCCACGCAAGGAUGCGUAGCCGACCCGAGCGGGAGAUCGGGUAGACGGGACGUGAGAAUCAGUCCAGACACCGGCGGGAGGCAACGGUAGGGAAUCUUCCGCAAUGGGCGAAAGGGUGACGGAGCAACGCCGCGGGAGGGAUGAAGGACUUCGGAUGGGAAAACGAUGAUAGUAGGAAGAAUCAAAUAUGUUUGUAACGAUGCACGUCUUGACGGUACCUAAACAGAAAGCCACGGCUAACUACGUG
rnacentral:rRNA from 1 species